GCCAGGGUAGUUUAAUAGGUAGAACGUUAAUUUCAUGCAUUACUCGUGAGAAUUCGAUUUUCUCUCCAGGCU
rnacentral:tRNA from 1 species